GCCCCAGUGGCGCAACCGGUUAGCGCGUCGUACUUAUAAGCAGUACUGAAUCUGCUAACGAAAUGCGAAUGUUGUGAGUUCGAUCCUCACCUGGGGCA
rnacentral:tRNA from 1 species